AUGAACGCUGGCGGCGUGCCUCAUACAUGCAAGUCGAGCGAACGGACGAGAAGCUUGCUUCUCUGAUGUUAGCGGCGGACGGGUGGGUAACACGUGGAUAACCUACCUAUAAGACUGGGAUAACUUCGGGAAACCGGAGCUAAUACCGGAUAAUAUUUUGAACCGCAUGGUUCAAAGGUGAAAGACGGUCUUGCUGUCACUUAUAGAUGGAUCCGCGCUGCAUUAGCUAGUUGGUAAGGUAACGGCUUACCAAGGCAACGAUGCAUAGCCGACCUGAGAGGGUGAUCGGCCACACUGGAACUGAGACACGGUCCAGACUCCUACGGGAGGCAGCAGUAGGGAAUCUUCCGCAAUGGGCGAAAGCCUGACGGAGCAACGCCGCGUGAGUGAUGAAGGUAUUCGGAUCGUAAAACUCUGUUAUUAGGGAAGAACAUAUGUGUAAGUAACUGUGCACAUCUUGACGGUACCUAAUCAGAAAGCCACGGCUAACUACGUG
rnacentral:rRNA from 1 species